rnacentral:snRNA from 1 species
GGAUGUGAGGGCAGUCUGGCUGCGACAUCUGUCACCCCAUUGAUCACCAGGGUUGAUUUGGCUGAUCUGGCUGGCUAGGCGGGUGUCCCCUUCCUCCCUCACCGCUCCAUGUGCGUUCCUCCUGAAGCUGGGCGCUCGGUGGAAGAGGACGACCAACCCCGAAAAAGGAGGACCGUUCUGCUCAGUCAAAGGUAUAUGACUAGCUGCGCUCCCCUGCUAGAACCUCCAAACAAGCUCUCAAGAACCAGAAAACUUACCUAAUUUUUCUUUCUCUUUUAAGUUAUAUUUCUAUUCUACUU